rnacentral:rRNA from 1 species
UACGUAGGUGGCAAGCGUUGUCCGGAAUUAUUGGGCGUAAAGCGCGCGCAGGCGGUCCUUUAAGUCUGAUGUGAAAGCCCACGGCUCAACCGUGGAGGGUCAUUGGAAACUGGGGGACUUGAGUGCAGGAGAGAAGAGUGGAAUUCCACGUGUAGCGGUGAAAUGCGUAGAGAUGUGGAGGAACACCAGUGGCGAAGGCGACUCACUGGACUGGUAUUGACGCUGAGGUGCGAAAGCGUGGGGAGCAAACAGG